GAUGAAGAACGCAGCGAAAUGCGAUACGUAGUGUGAAUUGCAGAAUUCAGUGAAUCAUCGAAUCUUUGAACGCACAUUGCACCUCUCGGUAUUCCGGGAGGUAUGCCUGUUCGAGCGUCAUUUGUACCCUCAAGCUCUGCUUGGUGUUGGGUGUUUGUUCCGCCUCUGUGUGUGAACUCGCCUCAAAACAAUUGGCAGCCGGCGUACUUGUUUCGGAGCGCAGCACAUUUUGCGAUCCAGAUCAACGUACAGCGGCAUCCAAGAAGCCUUAUUUAACGCUCUUGACCUCGGAUCAGGUAGGGAUACCCGCUGAACUUAAGCAUAUCAAUAAGCGGAGGG
rnacentral:misc_RNA from 1 species